GAUAGGACCCCCACUUAUCCCAGAUCAGCUUCACUGAGAUUUCCACUUAUCCCUUUCCAGUUUUACUGUCCUGCAUCCCCAUCUGUACCAGGGCAGUAUUACGGACACCCAACAUACCCCGUGCAGGAUUAGGGAGACCCCCUAUAGCCUACUAACAGGGUUAGAAACAAGCUGACAUACAGUAACAUAUUACAGAAGGCAUGACAUAUCAUAAACCACAUCACAACAAUACAAAUGGUACGGUGACAUUGUUCUUGUUGGGAAUGACAUACAAACAGACAUGUAUGCCCAUGACACAUGUAUAAGGCAGACACUUACACUGAUUGCACAAACAGAUGACAAUAAGGAGCUAUAUGGGAAUGCUGUGAAAUAC